rnacentral:lncRNA from 1 species
CUAAUUCUACCCAACAAUAUUCAGAUCCCCCCAGCCCAGUUUCUUUUCAUAUCAACAGGCCCAAACCACAAACCACCUAAGCCCAAAUCUUAAAAUACCCCAGCCCACUUUUUAAACAAUGACUCGGUCUAUGCCCAUUUAUUUCCUCUCCACCAAUAAAACAAAACAAGAAGAACCUUCAACAUCGACCAAAACAGCCAAAAACACGAUAAUCAGCUCCAAACGACCCCAAAACCCGACCUUAUACCGACUUCCACCACCAACUCCACGCUGAUAACGGUGAAACCCAACCCAAAUUCGGUGAAAACUAGUUUCCCGAGUACCGACCCAACUCUGUUCGAAUCGACCCAACCUUGACCCAUGCAGAUUCGCAAAGAAUUUGGUUGAAUCUUCUAGAAUACGAUGCGUUGGCCUCUCCAACGGUUGAAUCCCAAGAUUUUUGGGUUUAUUGGUACGAAUUCGUACACACCUAUUGAAUUUCUAUUGGUUCGUGAAGGAAUUUCAUCACUUCAAAUCCAUUGGCUGGAGAAUUUUGGAUUUCACGAAGAAAAUUCCAAAAUUAGUACGAGUUUCUUGAUGGAAAACGUUCCUAAGUUUAAAUUUUGAAUUCCUUUUUGAAAGAAAAUCCCAAAAUAACCCCAGGAGGCCCCAUUUUUUGUUCCAUCGGAUUGAAGUUCUAGAAAACCCUAGUUGUUCUCUAUAAAAAGGGAGUUUUAUAAGUCUUGAAGGGGGAUUUUCGAAAAUUCUAGAGAGGUUCUCUGGAGGUUAGAAAUUCGAGGGUUGGGAUAUUUGGGAAAAUUUGAGAGGAAUGACAAGAAAGAGAGAGAAGGAAGAAAGAAAAAGAAAGAAAAUUCCUAAGAAGUUCAAUCUUUCAGUAGAAAUUUUGUUGAUUUUUAGAGAAUUCUUCGGCUAGGAAAGAGACUCCGAGUUGACGACAAUACUUUCUGGUGGUCAGAAUCCUAUCGUCAACUCGUCGUCCUAUUUUUCUGCCCCAGAAAAGGUGAAUAUACUCUUGUUCUUUUAAUUUUGGCACAUCCCCCUUUUUCUACGUAGAAUUAGCUAAUAUUUCAACUGUAAUUAUGAAUGAGGCUGGGUUUUGUCUGCUGUAGAUGGCCGUGAUGGCCUUAGGUUUUUUUUUGUGAUUAUCGUUAUGCCAUUUUGCUGAAGCAGUGCUCGUGUUAUAAUUUUUAAUGUGAUUAUGCCAAAUAUACUGUCUUUUAAUUGGCGCCGUUGGUUAUAUGAUAGUUAUGGUGUGAAUAAACAUUUAUAUCAUCAAGAUUGCACCUUUUCUUUCCAGUUUCCCUUUUUGAUGUAGCGUUUCUUGCUAUGCUAUGCUAGGCUAACUGUUAUUAUAAUCAUUUGAUCCGUGAUUCCAGCUUCGUGUUGCUUCCCUCAGUUUUGCAAUCUGUUGUUUAAACCUUAAUAUCGUUAGUUAAUUAUUUAACCAUGGUUUUCAUUUUUCGCAUGUUGCUUAUGGUUUGAUUUGCUAUCUCUAUGUUUGAACAUUCCUAUUUUAGUCUAGUUAUGUCUUCUUUAGCGUACCUUGGCUCUGAUUCGCCCUAAUUUUUUUAUGUCCUGUCCUUAAUACAAGGUCACCAGUGAUGAUUUAAUUAACUAAAUCAGCAGGAUUCAGACUACCUCAUAACUUUUGACCUUUGAGACAGAUAGAGAUGAUGGGUAUACAUCUGUGGUAAGGUGAUAGUCCCAUGAACUCUCGAUGACCCUGCUUUGGGAUUUUGAAAGUUCAUUUCUAGUUGAGGUCAAAAAGAGAGUAAGGAGGGCCUCACAGAUGUAUUUCUGAGAAGUGCGAAUGGCAUUCUUGUUAUGUGUUAAUUAAAGAAUAAAAAAAGGGUGCUGCUUUGGUCAUUCACUGUAAACAUGUUUGCCUAGAUGUUACAACUUGCUUAAUUACAUCUUACUUUGAAAAUUGUCUAGCCUUUCCCUCACUCCUUUGCUCCCUUUGUUUUGUUAGACGUAUGUUAGAUUUUCGCCUUAUCUACCUUCAGAAUAAAAUUCCUAUGGUUAAUUUUAUGUUUCCUAGGCUAGUCGAUGUUCAUUCAAGUUUCUUUCCCUUUUUUUUCUUUACUUUUGAUUCAAUUUUGUUUCAUCUGCCUAGAACUUUUGGAGUUCUGUAAGGCGUUUUCCGACUAUUGAAUAAUGCUUGAGUGUUUACUAUUCCCCCCUCCAAAACUGUUUAAAGUUCUAUGUUUCGUUAAUGUCGACCUUUCUCGAUGUAUUGGCAUGAGUGUCGCAUUUUUUUAGUAUGAAAGGUCAGAUAAUAAUAAGUUCGGAUGGUUGCCUCUGGAAUUCAGUUUUAAUGAAGAUUUGGCAUCUACGGAAGAUGUUCUCGUUAUUCUACCCUUAAUUGAUUACCUUGUGUCAUGAGAUUCGUUCGUCGAAGUUUGAAUUUUCUCAGACUGCUCUUUAUUCCAAAAUUGUCGUAGUAGCCAUCGAAUCUUUAAAGAGUAUGGAAAAUCUAUUCUUUAGCAGCCGUUUUUUCAUGUAGUUUGAUUACUUUCCUCAGUUGAACACUUUCUUUACUUUAAAUCCUAGCCCUUUAGCUUGUUAUCUGCACCUUAGUAUGACAAGAUUGGAUUUUUAUUCUGUUUCUCCUGAUUAUCGAUGAAUCAUUGUUUGCUAUAAUUUUAAAUCCUUAGUCUUGCACCUGUAGUUGCUUGUGUUAGCUUAAGUCCAUGGUGAAAUGUUGCCUGUUGUAGUUCUUUAACUCAUUAUUUUAAUAGUGUAAUGAUGUUUAGCAUGGUUCGACUAAUUUUUUGUUCAAUAUAAUUUGGAUGAACGUAUCCCCAGGCUCAAUCUAACUAAAUUGUAGUUUGUUUGAUAAAUAGGGUGGCUUUGUAACCUGUUUAGUUUAGUUCAGCUAUAAUUUCCUUUGCAAAGCAAUGCUUCAUUUUUUUUGGGAAAAUCUGUGAUAUUGUGAUGCCUCUAGUUUUAAUUUUAUUCUGAUAGAGUAUGGUGUGUGUUACUAGUUGGAUGACGCUGCCAUAUUCGAAUUACUGUCUUUCAGUUUGUUUGAGUCACUACAGUUUACUAUUUGUUUAUCAAUUUGUUAUGCUAUUUCUCUAUGUAGCAUUUCGUAUUUUGGGUGUGCAUUAAUUUCGUUUCUUUUUCUUCUUUUGCAUGACAAUUCGUUGGAGUCUAAACGGACUCUUUGCAUUCUCUAAUGGGCCAAUAAGGCCCAUCCAUUAAGUCAAGCCUGAAAGAGAGUCUAAAGUUACAUAGUGCACGGAUACGAAGAGUCGAACGAAGAAGGAAAAUGGGUUAAAAACCUACAUUUGAAGCAUCCGAGAGACUUGAAAGUCUCGGUUUCCAUUUCAUUCAUUUAUUUAGUCAUUUAUUUAUUGUUGUCAUUAUUUAUUUAGUUAUUUAUUUUUAUUCAUUCAUUUGGGCCUAGAAGCCAAAGUUGUAUUUAAUACAUGUGGAGCAAGAUUCGAGUCAAAGGCUCGAAAACUUAACUAGGACAGGUGAAAUGGGUCUAAAGCCCAAUUAGACUAGGACAAGUCUCGUUGAUUUGGGCCCAAUGGCUUAAAAUCCCUUACUUCCUCCCCUUCCCCUCUUCUUUAUGCUUGUUUGUUUUAUGUGUUUUGCGAACCUAGUUAAAUCCUUAGUAAAGUCGCUAAAAAACUGAUUUUUGCAAAAAACUUUUUCCUAAUCAACUACUUUUCAACAAAUUUAAUCCUUUUUGAAGUUAGUCAAAAGACGUUUUCAAAAAAGAUCGGAUAACCGCAAGUUAGCGGACGUUACAUCUUUCUAAAAUGUUAAUAGGAAUCACUUACUUAGAAUCUCUACCUUAAACGAUUUUCCUAUUUUGGAUUGUUUAAAGUAUUUAUAAAGGUUUCUUAAUUCCUUUUCAAAAUUAAGUGGCGACUCUCAAAAAAUUCAAUUUUUUUUUGCAAAACAGAAAUGGUAACUCUGUUGGAGAUUUUAACUAUGUUCUAACCAAAUGUUUGAUUUUGUCUUUUGAUUAACUGUUUAUGUGUUUAUAUGUUUUGAUUCUGUAAAGUUUAACUAUCGCAUCUCAUGGCAUAUUCCUGCAUUAUUUAAACUAUUUGGGGUAUCGUAGAUGUCCUGGCCCUUAUUGUUCUAUUCCAAAAUGUGUUGGAAAUACGAAUGGCUUAUUAUCACGUGAGUCAUCUGAUGGUUGUUUGUAUUUUCAAACUCAAGUUGUCCGCUUAAGAAUCAGUGUUCAAACCCACUCUAGACACCGAGGAUAGAACGAAACCAAAACCCUAUUUUAGGCAUGAGCCUAGGACAACCCAAUACCCGAGCGGGGUAUUGGGCCCAUUAGAAAACCUGCCCUGCGUCUUUUGACCCCGAGUCAAUUACAGACAAAUCAUAUUAUGUGUUGAAAAAAAUAUAUGCUUGUCUAAUUCAAUCCAAUACCCUUUGGGGUCGGGGGAAGGCUUAUCUUUGACUACUUUCAUGUAGGAUAUGGCUCAACUACAUUCCCACAAAAAGUUCAAGAUGGUUAUUAAACUUGACGAUUUCUUGAAACUAUGGUAGGAUCACAUUACCGCAGAAGAGAGAAAGAUUGUUAGAACACACAUCGGAUAUCUCCCUUCUUUGAUCGAGAUUUACACAUGGCCUGAAAUGAUCCAUGUGCUAACAACUUUUUAGGAUGAUUAGAAUAUGAUAUUUCAC